GAUGAACGCUGACAGAAUGCUUAACACAUGCAAGUCGAUGGGGAAGUGGUGCUUGCACCAUGGUAACCAUGGCGGACGGGUGAGUAACGCGUAAGGAACUUGCCUGCGGGACUGGGAUAACAGCAGGAAACUGCUGAUAAUACCGGAUAAGGUCAUUAAGCUGCAUAGCUUAGUGAUGAAAGGAGACGCCUGCGGAGAGCCUUGCGUCCUAUUAGCUAGUUGGAGGGGUAACGGCCCACCAAGGCGAAGAUAGGUAGCCGGCCUGAGAGGGUGGACGGCCACAAGGGGACUGAGAUACGGCCCUUACUCCUACGGGAGGCAGCAGUGGGGAAUAUUGGACAAUGGGGGCAACCCUGAUCCAGCAAUUCUGUGUGCACGAAGACGGUUUUCGGAUUGUAAAGUGCUUUCAGCAGGGAAGAAGGAAGUGACGGUACCUGCAGAAGAAGCCACGGCUAAAUACGUG
rnacentral:rRNA from 1 species